rnacentral:rRNA from 1 species
GAUGAACGCUGGCGGCGUGCCUAAUACAUGCAAGUCGAGCGAACGGACGAGAAGCUUGCUUCUCUGAUGUUAGCGGCGGACGGGUGAGUAACACGUGGAUAACCUACCUAUAAGACUGGGAUAACUUCGGGAAACCGGAGCUAACACCGGAUAAUAUUUUGAACCGCAUGGUUCAAAAGCGAAAGACGGCCUUGCUGUCACUUAUAGAUGGAUCCGCGCUGCAUUAGCUAGUUGGUAAGGUAACGGCUUACCAAGGCAACGAUGCAUAGCCGACCGGAGAGGGUGAUCGGCCACACUGGAACUGAGACACGGUCCAGACUCCUACGGGAGGCAGCAGUAGGGAAUCUUCCGCAAUGGGCGAAAGCCUGACGGAGCAACGCCGCGUGAGUGAUGAAGGUCUUCGGAGCGUAAAACUCUGUUAUUAGGGAAGAACAUAUGUGUAAGUAACUGUGCACAGCUUGACGGUACCUAAUCAGAAAGCCACGGCUAACUACGUG